rnacentral:lncRNA from 1 species
UUUAGAGUUUAGGGUUUAGGGUUUAGAGUUGAGAAAUGAAGUUUUGGGGAUAAGAUUUCAAAUUUUGAAAAAUAAAAAAAAUAAAAUUUUCAAAGGAUAAACUUAGAAAGGUGCUAUUUUGGUCAUUUUAGUUUUUGAGUGUUAUUUUUGUGAUAUAAACUUAGAAAUGUGCUAUUUUGGAGAUUUGCCCUUUUUUAAUUUUUAAUUUUGUUUUUAAAUUUUUUUAUAUAUCUAGAGUAUUAGAGUCUUUUUACUUAUUAAAUGAAACAUUUUGGUCAUUUUCCUUCUUGUGGUUUAUUUUUGUGAUCAAAACUUGAAAAUAGUCUAUUUAGGAGAAUUACCCUUUAUAUAACGGAGAAAUCUGGUUCAAGCCGGAGAAAUCAAGUCACAAAAUCGCAGAUGAAUCGUAUAAUUGAUUUUUUAAUUUUCCUCCACUAUUAAAAAACCUUUUUUAUGUAGUAGAUUAAUCCAUUAUGCAAUUGG